rnacentral:rRNA from 1 species
CCUACGGGAGGCUGCAGUGGGGAAUAUUGGACAAUGGGCGAAAGCCUGAUCCAGCCAUGCCGCGUGUGUGAAGAAGGCCUUCGGGUUGUAAAGCACUUUCAGUGGGGAAGAAAGCCUUGGGGCUAAUACCCUCGAGGAAGGACAUCACCCACAGAAGAAGCACCGGCUAACUCCGUGCCAGCAGCCGCGGUAAUACGGAGGGUGCGAGCGUUAAUCGGAAUUACUGGGCGUAAAGCGCGCGUAGGCGGUCUGAUAAGCCGGUUGUGAAAGCCCCGGGCUCAACCUGGGAACGGCAUCCGGAACUGUCAGGCUAGAGGGCAGGAGAGGAAGGUAGAAUUCCCGGUGUAGCGGUGAAAUGCGUAGAGAUCGGGAGGAAUACCAGUGGCGAAGGCGGCCUUCUGGACUGACACUGACGCUGAGGUGCGAAAGCGUGGGUAGCAAACAGGAUUAGAUACCCUUGUAGUC